GGCGAUGUAAAUUGCUAUUAUUCGCUUCUUAUCGUCGUCUCCACUGGUGGUCGUCGUCAUAGGGAAGACGGUGCAUACGACGUCGAUACCGGGCACGACGCCAAGGGCGAAAAGUCACGCGUCGAACACAGACCACCCAGCUGGAGAAGAAAUGACACGAAAAGAAAAACGAAGACGUACCACUCUGUGAUCUCUCUUUCUCUAUCUUCCCGUGCGCGUGUGCGCGCGCGGGAAAUGAUGCCUUCACGCAGGUGGUACCAGGCCACGCCCCAAUCAUUCCUUCCUUCCUUCUACUACU
ensembl:ncRNA T28B11.7 ncRNA